rnacentral:rRNA from 1 species
AGGGGUGCAAAGCCGCGAGGCAGAGCAAAUCCCUAAAAGCCAUCCCAGUUCGGAUUGUAGGCUGCAACCCGCCUGCAUGAAGUUGGAAUUGCUAGUAAUCGCGGAUCAGCAUGCCGCGGUGAAUACGUUCCCGGGGAUUGUACACACCGCCCGUCACACCAUGGGAGUCGGAAAUGCCCGAAGUCAGUGACCCAACCGUAAGGAGGGAGCUGCCGAAGGUGGAGCCGGUAACUGGGGUGAAGUCGUAACAAGGUACC